GGGAUAAGGCUAAGCUACAAAGGGCGUAUGGUGAAUGCCUAGGCAGUCAGAGGCGAUGAAGGACGUGGACAGCUGCGAUAAGCCACGGCGAGGCGCUAACAGCCUGUGACCCGUGGAUCUCCGAAUGGGGAAACCCCAAUGGCGUUUAGCCAUGAGCCUAACGUGAAUACAUAGCGUUAGGCGGCAAACUCAGGGAACUGAAACAUCUAAGUACCUGAAGGAAAAGAAAGAAACCUCGAUUCUCCUAGUAGCGGCGAGCGAACGGGGAACAGCCUAAACCUUAGGACGCAAGUCCUAAGGGGUCGUGGGGUCUGCAACAUGAGCGCGGUGCGAUAGAUGAACGGCAUGGAAUGGCCGGCCAGAGACGGUGACAGCCCGGUAAUUGAAAUUGCGCCAGACUCUAGCGGAUACCCGAGUAUCGCAGGACACGUGCAAUCCGGCGAGAAUCUGCGGGGACCAUCCCGUAAGGCUAAAUACUACUGACUGACCGAUAGUGAACUAGUACCGCGAGGGAAAGGUGAAAAGCACCCCGGUAAGGGGAGUGAAAUAGUACCUGAAACCGUACGCCUACAAGCAGUGGGAGCACUAUGACGGCUUCGGCCGUAACGUGUGACCGCGUACCUUUUGCAUAAUGGGCCUGCGAGUUACGCUGUGUGGCAAGGUUAAGCCGAAAGGUGGAGCCGGAGCGAAAGCGAGUCCUAACAGGGCGUUCAGUCGUAUGGCGUAGACCCGAAACCUUAGCGAUCUAUCCAUGUGCAGGUUGAAGAGUUGGGUAACACCGCUUGGAGGACCGAAUCCACCACAGUUGAAAAUGUGGGGAAUGACGUGUGGAUAGGAGUGAAAGGCUAAUCAAGCUGGGAGAUAGCUGGUUCUCCUCGAAAUAUAUUGAGGUAUAGCCUCGGACGAAUACCGCCGGAGGUAGAGCACUGAAUGGGCUAGGGGUCCUACCAGAUUACCAAACCCAAUCAAACUCCGAAUGCCGGUGAGUACUAUCCGGGAGUCAGACGGUGCGAGAUAAGUUGCAUUGUCGAAAGGGAAAGAGCCCAGAUCGUCAGCUAAGGUCCCAAAGUCUGACCUAAGUGUCGAAGGAUGUGGGAACGCUUUGACAACCAGGAGGUUGGCUUAGAAGCAGCCAUCCUUUAAAGAAAGCGUAAUAGCUCACUGGUCAAGCGAGCCUGCGCCGAAAAUAUAACGGGGCUAAAGGUCAGCACCGAAGCUACGGACUCCGCAAGGAGUGGUAGAGGAGUACUCUCAAGUAGAUACACGCCGGACCGUGAGGACCGGUAUCGGACUUGAGAGGAGCUUAUGCAGGCAUGAGUAGCGAUAAACCAAGUGAGAAACUUGGUCGCCGUAAGCCCAAGGUUUCCUGGGGAAGGAUAAUCCUCCCAUGGGUUAGCCGGUACCUAAGCCGAGGCCGAGAGGCGUAGGUGAUGGAAAGCAGGUUAAUAUUCCUGCGCUACUAGGGAAGGCGUUGAAGUAAGCGGGGACGGAGUAGGAUAGGUCAAGCUGGGCAGUUGGUUGUUCCAGUUCAAGCCCGUAGGCUGAUUCGCCAGGACCCGAGAGGGACAAACAGCGAAUCAUUAGGCCGAGAGGUGAUGAGGUCAGACUUCGGUCUGGCAACUUGGCGAUUCCACACUUCCAAGAAAAGCCGCGUACAGAGCCCCUCUAGUAACCGUACUGCAAACCGACUCAGGUGGGUGGGUAGAAUAUACCAAGGCGCGUGAGAGAACCCUGGCUAAGGAACUCGGCAAACUGACACCGUAACUUCGGGAGAAGGUGUGCCUGUUUACGUGUAACGGUUUACCCGUGAAGCGUUGGCAGGUCGCAGAGAAUCGGGAGUUGUGACUGUUUACUAAAAACACAGCACUCUGCUAAGUCGUAAGACGACGUAUAGGGUGUGAUGCCUGCCCGGUGCUGGAAGGUUAAGGGGACGCGUCAGCGUAAGCGAAGCGCCGAACCGAAGCCCCAGUAAACGGCGGCCGUAACUAUAACGGUCCUAAGGUAGCGAAAUUCCUUGUCGGGUAAGUUCCGACCUGCACGAAUGGCAUAACAACAUCUCCGCUGUCUCGGCCAGGGACUCAGCGAAAUUGUAUUGGGGGUGAAGAUACCCUCUACCCGCGGCAAGACGGAAAGACCCCAUGAACCUUUACUGCAACUUGGCAGUGAGUCUCGGAUCAUUCUGCGUAGGAUAGGUGGGAGGCUUUGAAGUCGGGCCUCUGGGUUCGAUGGAGCCACCGUUGAAAUACCACCCUGGAUGAUCUGGGAUUCUAACCUGCGUCCGUGACCCGGACGAGGGACACUGCCUGGCGGGCAGUUUGACUGGGGCGGUCGCCUCCUAAAUUGUAACGGAGGCGUGCGAAGGUUCCCUCAGCCUGAUUGGAAACCAGGCGUAGAGUGCAAACGCACAAGGGAGCUUAACUGCGAGACCGACAGGUCGAGCAGGUGCGAAAGCAGGCGUUAGUGAUCCGGUGGUCCUGUAUGGGAGGGCCAUCGCUUAUCGGAUAAAAGGUACUCUGGGGAUAACAGGCUGAUCGCGCCUGAGAGUUCACAUCGGCGGCGCGGUUUGGCACCUCGAUGUCGGCCCAUCGCAUCCUGGGGCUGGAGCAGGUCCCAAGGGUUCGGCUGUUCGCCGAUUAAAGCGGUACGCGAGCUGGGUUUAAAACGUCGUGAGACAGUUUGGUCCCUAUCUGCCGUGGGCGCAGGAUACUUGAGUGGAGCUGACCAUAGUACGAGAGGACCUGGUUGGACGCACCCCUAGUAAGCCGGUUGUCACGCCAGUGGCACAGCCGGGUAGCUAUGUGCGGAACGGAUAACCGCUGAAAGCAUCUAAGCGGGAAGCCGGCCAUAAGACAAUGUAUCCCGGGCGCAAGCCCCUAAAGACCCCUUGUAGACCACAAGGUUGAUAGGCCGGGUGUGGAAGCCAAGCAAUUGGCGGAGCUGACCGGUACUAAUAGGUCGUGAGGCUUAGUCAUAUCUCUA
rnacentral:rRNA from 1 species